AACUGUUCUCCAUGUGAGGAUGUCUCUAAUUUCAUCAUUACAUUUCUAACAAACCUGGCAGCCUCUCCCUUCACCAGCGACAUCUUCAUUUUGUUGUUUCCUAGGGGUGCAGUGUCUGUCCUGGCUUGGAGGGCUCCUGGUUCCAGGUGUGGGAGGUGCAGCCAGCCCAGGGUGGGAGGAUGCUGCAGGGCCCAGAGAGCAGCUGUGCACACGGACUGUCUGUCUGUCUGUCUGUCUGUCUGUCUGCACAGGGCCAGCUCUGAGGUACGUGCACUCCUGCAGCUGUGGGAACACAGACAUGGCUUUCCUGAAGCAUUUCUGAGUGUGCCACCAUUGUCCCAUCCCUCCGGACUAAAACACACGUACUGUUCUGGGUGGUGUACUUUAUAUCUGGUUUUUAGAAGGCAGAAUGUUCUGUGGGGUCUGUUCCUUGUCCUCAGGAAGUUGAGAGGUGAGCCCUGUGGGGAGCUGGGCUGGCCAUGUGGGGGGCAGUGUUGGCCCUGCAGUGUUGCCCUGGCACAGCAAUGCCCCCGGUGCCAGCACCUCCUCACCCUCCAGGGUGUUCCCGUGGGUUUCCCUCCUGAUCCAGAGGCCAUGGAGCAGAGAGAGGCCGGUGCUGAGGAAAGCAGGGUGUGCCUUUGGCUGAGCUGUGGGCCUGGAGUGUUCCUGGCUGCUGGCUGCCCUGCUGCUUUGGGCCUGCUGUGCCAGGGCUGCACAAUGGCCUACCUGAGCCUAGCAGUGACCCCUGUGAUGGCACACUCUGCCCACCAUGCCAAGACUGCAGCAGUGAUCCCUGUGAGGGCACAGCCUGCCCGCUGUGCCAGGGCUGCAGCAGUGAUCCCUGUGAGGGCACAGCCUGCCCGCCGUGCCAGGGCUGCAGCAGUGAUUCCCUGCGGAGCUGGUGUGUGGGUGCAGCACAGGCAGUUCUGGGGUGGGGGCCCAUCCCUGGUGCCCACUGGCCUGCCCACGGUCCCUGCUGUGCCCAUCGGCCUGCCCAGGCUCCCUGGUGCCCAUCGGCCUGCCCACGGUCCCUGCUGUGCCCACAGCCCAAAGCUGCUGUGUGAGCCGUCCCCAGGGUGCAGAGUGAUUUUCCUCCCCAGCUCCUCCAUGACCCAGUUCCCAGCUCAGCACAUGCACGGAGCCACGGGAGAGAAGAACACAUUUCUGUUUGAAUGA
rnacentral:lncRNA from 1 species